UACAGAGGGUGCGAGCGUUAAUCGGAAUUACUGGGCGUAAAGCGCACGUAGGUGGCUUGGCAAGUCGGGUGUGAAAUCCCCAGGCUUAACCUGGGAACUGCAUUCGAGACUGCAUUGCUAGAGUAUGGGAGAGGGAAGUGGAAUUUCCGGUGUAGCGGUGAAAUGCGUAGAUAUCGGAAGGAACAUCAGUGGCGGAAGCGACUUCCUGGACCAAUACUGACGCUCAUGUGCGAAAGCGUGGGGAGCAAACAGG
rnacentral:rRNA from 1 species